rnacentral:rRNA from 1 species
CCUACGGGGCGCAGCAGUGAGGAAUAUUGGUCAAUGGGCGUAAGCCUGAACCAGCCAAGUCGCGUGAGGGAUGAAGGUUCUAUGGAUCGUAAACCUCUUUUAUAAGGGAAUAAAGUGUGGGACGUAUCCUGUUUUGUAUGUACCUUAUGAAUAAGGAUCGGCUAACUCCGUGCCAGCAGCCGCGGUAAUACGGAGGAUCCGAGCGUUAUCCGGAUUUAUUGGGUUUAAAGGGUGCGUAGGCGGCUUUUUAAGUCAGCGGUGAAAGUCUGUGGCUCAACCAUAGAAUUGCCGUUGAAACUGGGAUGCUUGAGUAUGUGUGAGGUAGGCGGAAUGCGUGGUGUAGCGGUGAAAUGCGUAGAUAUCACGCAGAACCCCGAUUGCGAAGGCAGCCUGCCAGGCCAUGACUGACGCUGAUGCACGAAAGCGUGGGGAUCAAACAGGAUUAGAUACCCCAGUAGUC